UGGCACGUUCGACGCACCGGAGGGGUAUCGUUUAUUUAGGAGGCGUGCACAUAAAUUUGAGAAUGGAAGCAGCUUAUAACCUCAUAAUGGGAUACCCCCUAUGGAGUGAAUCUGAAAGUAGAGACUUGAGAUAACAGGAAUGAUGUUUGUUAUUUCCAAAAUCUGUGCCUUCAUGGAGUGUGACAUUGUAAUAAACAUGAUUGUUUUUUAAUU